UGCUGAGGAGAGAAGAAGGAUGAAAGAAUGGUGGAUUCACCGGCGCUGAAGGCUGCUGAUCUCCUCUUACCUGUUGUCCUCCUGCAGGUGCGUCCGGACAGCCCCUAUAUUCAGAGAGGCAACACCUCCAGAGGGAAGCGAUGGCGGGGAUGAAACAUCCUGCAGGGAUCAUUGUGCUGAUGGAUUACAAGGGGCAGGAAAAGAUAUGAGACUGUUUUCCUCCCCCCUGCAUGGCUGUCUUGGAGUGCAGCACCUGACUGCUGAGGGACACUUUACCUGCACGGAUCUUCUGGAUUAUUACCUGAGUGACACCUGGGUACACUGCUGAAGUGGAUUAUAGCAGGUCAGAAUUUUGGAAUGAUGGUACAUUUCUUUUUCUUUUUUUUUUUUUGCAAAUUGAUCUUAGCCUUAACCUGUUGACUCAGACAAAAAAAGAAAUAGAGUGUGAAUAACAGGUAAUUUACCUGUGAUGCUGUCAAAACGAAGAUCUGUCAUUUGCAUGAGAGCUUUAAUCGAAAGUUAACUUCUAUUUACUUCAGUUUAAUGUAACUGAGUGGCAGUCUUUCUUGAAAAUAAAAUGAUUAUUCUUUAUAACAUAUCAUUAAGCUGCACUUAAUUGUCAUGUGUCCUGGGCCUACAGAUUGUUUACAGUGAGGGGCUGUUACCUGAAGUACCUUCCUGCGAUUCCUCCACUGGUGAGUCCUGACAGUUUAAAUGACAGAUAUAUUAGUGUGUUUUUCUCCUCUUUGCCUGUGUCACUUUCUCACUAUCUCCGUUUCCAUCUCAACCCUUGAUGAAGUUGUUUCACAUCGUCUCUCUAAAACAGACUCUACCUCACUAAAACAUACUUAUUACUUUUAUCACGUGCCAUCUCAGGUGUCUGAGUGAAAUUGUCUGUUGACUUGUUUUUAUCUGGAUAAAAUGAACAAUUUCAUUCUGGCCUUUUGUCAUAAAGUGCCUCGUCUUUACAGGUGGGUACAUUCAUACGUUUGUCCUAACAAUUUUCAUCAAGUUUGCAACUAACUAGUAUUUAAAUCAGUAGGUGUGCUGCUGACUUUAAAAUAAAUGUAUUAGUAUUUGAAAUGUAUAAAAAGCUUUAAUAACUGCUGGCUUAAAUUCCCGAGAGCACAAAAUGAAAUCUUUGAAUUGCUUUAUUGGUCCAUCCAGCAGUCCAAAGGCUCUUCAAUUUACCAACAAAUCUGACAAGAAGCACCAAGUUCUCACGUCUACAAAUUUGAUACCAACAAGUGUUUAACGCCAGGCUUGAAAAAAAUACUUCAACAUUAUCAAAAUGGAUGAGUAAUUUCUUUCUCUUGACUACGUUUUCUUUGCUAGUGUUGAUAAUUUGCUUGCUUUUUCAUUCCACUGAGAGAGGGCCUCGACCGUGCAAGAAAAUCACCAGUAUUUGCUAUUUAUCAUAAAUCUAGAUGUAAGUACAAAUAGAGAAUAACUGUUAUGGGAUUUCGUCUGGUGAGAGUUACACAAGUUCUGUUACAGGUACAAGGUGAAGCUACAGGAUGCUGAAAUAUCAAUAUUUGACAGUUUUUGUUUAAGUAUUGGCAAGUUUUCUUGUAUGUCUGCUAACAAGGUGCAGUGCUGAUAUGACUCUUUUUUGGGGGGGGAAUGUAAAAUAAACAGUACUUUAAUUGCAUUAAAAUCAAUCUUGUUAUAACUUUCUGUGCUGUAUGCACCUAAAAUGAAGACAGAAUGCGACUAUAGUACAGCUUUUUUUACUUGUGUAGGUUCAACAAUUCACAUUAAAAUUAAAAUGUACUUGGAGGGCAUCUCAAAGUUGUCAAAUGGAAACUUACAGUAAUUCAUAAACUGGUACUGUCAGGAGGAUGGACAGACUGACAACAUAAUUAGACAAAACAACGCAGACGUAAAAAAACAAUCAAAAAACAAUUAAAACAGUGGAUGAAAUAAAAGCAGAAUUAAAAGUAAAAUAUAGUUUCAAUGUUUUUAAAAACUAAUUUAAAAACAUAGAAACAAAUAACUAAAAACAAACCAUAAAACACUAAAACAGGAGCGGAGUCUCAUGCAGGGUUAAAAGCCAAUGAAUAAAAAUGGGUUUUAAGACGAGUUUUAAAAAUGGACACCCAUCAGUUAUUAUAUAAAUACUUGAACCAUCUUUGGUAUAUUGUAUUUUGUAGGACUGUACAUCUUUACAGGUCUUAUGAUUCAAUUCAAAUAUGCUUAUGUUGUCACUGAUCAGUUUGGUUCAGUAUCAAAGUGUAACAUGACGUUGUAAUCCACACCUAUACAUACACACACAUGCACACGCUUUUUUGUGGUGCAGCCCACCAAGCUUCUUUCUGCUUUUUUUCCCUCACUUUGUAUAUUUACAUACAAACACAGUAAAGUUUAAGCAACAAUCAGAGCAUCAGGUGUGUGACUGUCACUAUGAGCAGGAGAAUUAGGGGGAGCGCAAGCAAGUGGAGAGAAACUUACAUGAUCACUGGGAAAAAAGUGAACACCAAGUCUAUCAUGGGCCUUAAAAUAGCUGUAUCCAUCCUGUAGGCCUUUGGUUUAAUAGCUACUUUACAGUCCAGAUUGCAGAUGCGGUGAUCAGUAAACACCAGCUAAAUGCCAAAUACAAGUAGAUUUGCGAUUAUGAGGGUGAUUUGUACCACAUUAUUCGUGUUAUAAAAGAAAGUAUACUUUUAACUGAGCUUUUACCUUUGUGUGGCUUAUAGCGUCAGUCAUUAGCUCCUCUGCUGUAUCUGCUUUUGGGAGCUGAAGUGGCACACACAAGCAGAAUGCAGUGUUUGCACGUACAAAGUCAGCAAUAAUCAAUUAGCUGUCCUUUAUCCGUCACUGCUAUAAUGCAGAGCCCCAUGUCUGCAAAAAUGGCUGAUUUCAACACCCCCACUAUGCCUGCAAACCUAAGAGCACCAAAAGCUGAUAAUGUCAUCUCUAAGUAAUCAAUCAGUAUAGUAUAUACAUAUAUAUCAGUAUAUAAGUAUAAUACAACUAAUCCACCAAUCUGUUAUAUAGAGUGGAAGGCUCUGUUUAGAAGACAGUGGGUAAUCAUAGUAACAGUGCUUUUACUUUAAGUUUUUAUGUAGUAACAUCAAGCACAAACUUCAACAACUUUUAAGGUAUGCUGUAAGUGGUUGACCCAUUUAUUAAAUGUCCACCAUCUGGGUCCUCAUCAUAAAUGAUUGACGAUAUGUAUCUAACUAGAAUAGUCCCUCUAAAAAGUAUGUCUAAUGUGUCGAACUGUGCUCUUAAUUCUCAUCCUAUGUGAUCCAGUGUUGUGAAUUCCUCACAAACCCUUUUAAAGUCAGUAAAGUUUCACAAAUUUCUUCCCACAAUGUCUGUCUUCAGGGAACAAUAAACAAGCAAAACCACAUUCAAACGAGCCAAUUUCUCUGCUGGCAUGUUGAAAUGUCAGAAUUUGCAGUGGAACAAAUAUACUAGUUAAUAUUCAGUUGGAACAAAAUGAGAAAUGAGCUAUCUUGGUGUUGCCACUCGCUAACAGGCAGAGCCUCAGUCUGUCUGGAGGGUUACACUCACUUAGUCACAUGACAUGCAUCGCUGCUUUGAUUGUUAGCAGCAGACAGCUCAACCCCCUGUUCCCCAGCACAGGUGUAGGUGUGGAGAGGAGAAGAUAGGGUUACACUGGCAUUUCAUUUUAUCUUUUUUUCUAAAUUUUUAAUUACAGUCAUAUUGUGCAUAAAUUUAAGCCUAUUGUACUCAAAAUUUCACCCCAAAAUUUUGCAUUUACAUCCAAAUACUGAAAAUCUUUCAAGUUUCUUCCUCAAUUUAAAUAAUCUUUUCAAAAAUAGGAAAGUAAUGUGUACAAGUUUGAACUAGGUUCUCAUUAUGAUAUCACACUAUUUAAAUAAAAGGCCUCCCAAAACAGUGUUUUAACCUUCAAGUCUCUUAUUAAUCUUAUCUUAUUAAAAAAAUACAUACUUGAAAAAAGCAUUAGCAUUAUCUACUGAGUGAUAUCUAACCAUGUUUUUAUUUUGAUAUGCAAGUUUUCCAACUGACAAGGAUACCAGAAGUAAACCUCUGUCUCAGAAUAAUUGUCAUAGUCAAAAAUAGAGCAAUAAAAGGAACAAAACAAGACAAAAAUGUAGAUGUGUGUGUAAUCAUCAGAUAUUCUGUCAAGGCCGGAAGUAUCAAAAUGAAUUUUAGCUGCAUCAUAUCAUUUUUUCUGUCUGCAGUGACACGGGUUAUUUGAAUUUGACCAUAGCAGCGUCCUCUCCUCUUUUAAAUCUCGUGGAUUAUUAAUCUUUGCCACCAUAGUAGUGUGUGUUGACCCGAACAGCUCCCUAAGGACUCUAUGAUAACUGGUAAUGGGCUGUUAAAGUAGUGAGAGGGGCCUCCACCGAUCAGCACAGGAUGGUCUGGUCCCACCACCAAUUACAGCUCAUUGAACAGGAGAGGCAGAGGGUUGAUUUCAUCAGUAAUCUAUGAGUGUGCACCUGCAUGUGUGUGCGCGCAUGUGUGUGUGUGAGCAAGCGUGCGUGUGCAUGCAUCUGUCAGUCAGGCUCCUCUUCCACCAUGCUAGCUGUGCACAGGCAGUCAUUAGCAGCAACAGCCCGUCAUUAAGCCUGUCAUUUCCUCUGUCUGCCAGCUGACCUACUGAUAUGGACAGCUUCUGUACUUAACCUAUGAACUCUGAUUUCCCCGCUCAUCACACAGACAGGUUGGUGUGUGUCUGUGUGUGCGUCCGAGUGUGUGUGUGUGUGCAUGUGUUUAUGGAUGCAGCAGGGCUUUGUUUUUAGAGAUUUGUGACAUUCAGAGCACAAUUGGUUUAUAAAAAGAUCGAAGAUGUACCGUGAUGCACAGUGUUUGUCUGAUUGUUCAUGCAGACAUUAUUAACUGUACUCGUUCACUGCAGUCAGAUGUCAUGUUUGUACUAAAUCUUUGAAACUGAGUCACUCCCUAAUUUUAAGUAUUGAUAUAUGUACAUUAAAGACAUCAUUGAUUGUUUUUUUAUUAAAGUAGCUGCUUUGCUGAGUUAUUAAAUGGAGUGUUUAGGCUUUCCAAUGAAUUUUUCAUUAUCGGAAAACUUGAUCACAAAACCGAGCUCGAGUAUGCAAUGAGGCUUCCUGGAUGUUUGUAAUGUGUUCAAUAGAAAAUUUUAAUUAUUAUGGCAUUUUGGCUUUUCUUUUAGCCAGAAACAGCGGUUUAGGAGGGUGAAAAUGCAAACUUUUGAAACUGGCUUUGUGUUGUGACAUUUCUCCACUCGCACAUGCAAAUAUUUAUACUCUCUAUGUGCAGGUGUGCUGUUGCUCUGCAGCGUUUGAUGACAAAGUUAUACUGUCAGGUUCUCGUCAAGCGUACUCCAGAGAUUUAUUAGUCAUGUUUAUGGAUCGAUGUGCAUGUGGAUCUUUUUCACAGCACUUUUUUUUAAGCAAAGAAAGACUUUUCUGUUUGUGAACGGGGCUUUUCCUGAGUAAAAAGGCUAAAAUAAAAAAAAUAAAGCUACUUGUAGAGCCUAUAAAUAUUCAGUUGCAUCAACUGAAAAUAUUUAUGUCAUGUAUUUUUUAUUUAGAUCUUUUGUUUUUUGGUUAUUCUUGUACCAAAGUGAUAUUUAGACCUGAGUGUCAGGCAGUUUUAUGUCUUAGGUGAAGAAAACAAGCGUGUGACAGUGAAGGUAAACAAUACAAUCUAUAAACAUUUGAACCAGGAGCAAUUUUUUUGUAAUUUUAUUUAAUAUUUAUAGAAGUUUCUCAAGAGAGGCUGUGCUGUUUUCCUCCUCAAACAGGCGAUGAUACACAUAGAAAUAGAUAGAAUCACAUUUGAAUUGGAACAGCUGUCAGAUAUGAAUUUUACAAGCCCAACCUGCGCCGCAAUACAGGGUCAAAAACCAUCAAAAUGUAAUUUCCCUUUGACUUGACAGGAAUGUUUUUUUACUGUCAUGUUCUCACAAAGGCAUCCCAAUUUCCUUCAAACUCCACAUGCUGCACAUUUACUUUGAUGCUCAGUUUUGUGUCUGUUUGCCUAUUCCUCUUUGAAUAUCCUCUGCAGAAAUAAUGUAUGUGUAAUGAGGCUUUAAACAGGUGUGUUCUGGUCCCCUUCAUUUAAAUAUCCACUAAUACCUCCUGACUUCUCCACUUCUGGGAUUAACCUCACGCUACUUUGUCUUAGCUGCAGCUCACUGUGGCUCUCUGGAAGCCUCGUAGCAGCGAUAGAAGCUGAAAUUAGGCAGCUUUCUGCCCCAAAGCUGCUGCAUUAAGACAGCCCUCACCUUGGCCUGCGGGAGCUGCGUUAGCCGUACGGCUAAUCCAAAAGCUAGCAAAGUCAAUCAGUCAGACCUUAAGCUAACUAAAGCUACCUCUGCUCUGCCUUGUCUUCAGGAGAUAAGGUAAUGAGGAUACAGAGGGGGUUAAGGUGAAAUUUGGUGGUGGUGUUCUGGAGUUUGAGGUGGUAACGGAUGACCAGUGAAUAUCGGGGUAAAUACAGCAGCUCUCAGGUAGAAGGAUGGAAUCAGAGUGGUAUUGUCUUACGAUGAUAAGGCAAUGAGAGGCUUACAGAGUUGUAUCAGUGGGCGAGGUUGGAGAGUCUCACACAGUAAUACCUGCUAUCUAGAUGUGACACCACAGCUUGGCCCCUGAGCGGGCUGGGUGGUGUUAAUAUUCCUCUUUUGUCUUGUCCUGAUAAGCUAAUGAGGGUUACAGUGAGAGGUGAUGAGAGUGUUAAGAGCUGCAUUAGUGGACCAAGAGGAACGAGGGACAGUGGAGCUGUUCAACAGCUUGGCAAGAAACUGUGGGAGCAAUCCCAGCUCCACUCGAUGGUCAGGAAUCAGGUGUUUUUUUAUGCUGAUAAGGAAGAGAGGGCAGGGUCAAAGUUAUGGGGGUACUGAAAUGAAAGAUUUACUUCUAGGGGAUUGUCAGAGAUUUUUGGCAACUGCCAAAUUUUAACUUUUAUCUCACUGAAAUCAGCCAGGGCUCAAAAAUUGUGAAGCAUCUGCCUUUGUAUUAAUCAUGAAAAAGGUUUGACUGUUGAACUAAAAUGAACAUGUGUCAGUCAUGCCGUACAGAAAAACAUACCUGUAUUUGAAUAUAACGAUACCUCAUGAGACAGUUGUAAACUGGUUUGCAUGAUGGUACAAGUUUGGAGAAAGAAAAAUACAAGUUGACUUGUAUUUCCCACGCACAGACAACACCUUAAGGGCCUUUUUUUGCCUGAUAUUGAGGUAUAUUUGCUGACCAUUAUUAGCAUCUUCUCUUUCUUUUUAUCCAGGAGAGAGAAAAACUGAGAGAGGGAGAGAAAGAGAUAUCAAGCUCCUUAAACAACAAAAGAGCUUUUACCUUUUUGAAGGGCUGCUACAUGAAACAUUUAUCACUGUUAAUCAUUUUGUCUACCUUUUCUUUUAUUUACCCCUGUCACUGAACAAUUCAGCCUAAUUGUCCUGUUAAAUUUUUUAAACUAAAAGCAUACCUAUCAAAACUGCACAGUAGCCAUUGACAUUUUAAGGAAACGUCCUAUGAAAAUUGAUCAGUGUGUUACUUACACCUAAUAAGAAAUGUAAAAAAAUCUCUAUUUUGAAUAAUUGUUUUAUAAGUUCUGUCUAUCCUUGCAAUUCCAUUUACUGCUUUACGCUUACAUUUUCUAUUUUGUUUUCAAAAUUUGUCCCAUAUCUUGUACUCCAAAACCUUUUGAAGCUUCUGUUAAAAAGAGUACAGACAUAGCAGCUGUUAUUGCUAAACUUCAGUAGCUUUAAGUGAAUUUGGAUGACUUUAUGAAACAAUCACAAUCUACAACAAUAUGGAUGCUGCAUUGAAGUGAAAGUUGAAUUACAGUAAUUGUAAUUACUUUUACACUGCAGCCAGACUCCCCUAAAAGUCAUCUGUUUAUAUGACCUGCUAGAGGUCUCAAACAUCCUUACAUCAUGCCUUCGUGAAGCAGACCUAAGGGUGCUGACCAAACUUUCUAAAGACAGCUCAUGUUUCUAUCAAGGAGUAAUAAAGCAGAUGGAUGGAGUUGGAGGUAGUUGCUGGUAUCUUAUAAUGUGCAAAAAGAGUUUGAUUUGACAUUCAAAACUUUGCAUUCUUUACUGUUUUGUUUCACUUUGAGCUUAUUAUAAUAAAAGCAAUCCUAUAAGCAUUUAUGAUAAAUAUUAAGCAACAGUUUUGUUAUACUGAUAAUCAUCUUUUGUGUGGGGUUACACUCAAAUGAGUGAUGAAAAACAAAAGACACAAGCUGUUUGAGUAUUUUGGUCAGGAGGGACUGCUUGUUACAAACACAUGUAGUUUGUGAAACAUGCUGAACUGCAGACAGACAAAAAAAAAGGUGCUAGUUGAAUCUCAAAAGCAGAUUUAGUUGUUACCCUGUGUCAUAUUGUUAACAUUGUUUUGAACGAAGGUAAGGCUUGAAUGUAGGUUUGUGUGAAAAUUUAGUUGAUACACUUUACUUUGUGAUUUUAAUUAUGCUCUUAUGGUCCUCAUAACUUUUUUAUUUUACUUUAGAUUGUCAUGUGUUAAACCAAGAUAACAUGUAUCCUGUCCUUAUCAGACUCACCUGUCUUUUUACUACACAUGCUCCUGGUGUUUUCUGCUGCAAACUCAGCAAAAUUUCAAUCAGUGAAACCUGGUCAGUAGAAACAAAGUGUCGCAUCCCUUAAAAGUUGAAUUAAACACACAGAAACACAGACCUUUUUUUUUCAUAGUCUCUAGUCUAUCAUAGUCUCUUUUUUAUAGUUGCUUUAGGUUAUUAAAACCUUGUUGUGGGAAAGAGUGUUGAAGCACUCGAUGCUCAAAAGACAAUAAGUGGUUUGUGGAUUGCACAUAAUAGGCACACAUUUAUUGUGAGAGCGGUGAAGUGGAAGGAAAAGAGGGGGCAGAAAGAAAUCCAAAGGUAGAAUUAAAGCAUGUUUAUUUUUAACUCUUUAUAUUUACUCCACUUGUAUUUUUGCGCUGUAGUUUACUUUCCAGUAUAAGUCUGAUGUAAAGUAUAUCACAUUAUAUGGUUAAUUAUCCUGUUUUUGUCCUUUUCAUUUUGAUAAAUCGAAAAGGUCUAAGGGCUUUAUUGUGUAUAAUAGCUCUAUAGAAAUGAAACGUGACAUUUAUUUUGUAGAGCAUUUACAACCUGAUUUAAAAAAAGUUUAGUUAACAAUGUUACAUGUUGUAAAAAACAAUUUUGAUUCGUAAAUCCUUUUAACUCAAUAUUCAUUUGAAAGACGUGCAAAGACAACAUAAACUGAAACUAAGAGAAAUAUUUUAUGAAAAAUACACACUCAUUUUAGAUUUUUGGAGCAAGAAAAUUUUUGAAAAAAUGUAUGAUGCUAAAAGACAUGCUGAGGAAAAUUUUGUAAGAUAAAUUUCCAAUAUGACUGGGUAUCAGAGGGCGUUACAGAGGGGCUGAAAAAUAAAGAUGGGGAGAGGUUCACCUCUUUGCGAGAGACUGUGAGAAAAUCAACAAUAGAAUAAUGUUACAUAGAGUAGAAUUUUAAAUGAAUUAGGGAUUUUGUCAUCUACAGUACACAUCAUUGAAAGAUUCAGAGUAUCUGGAGAAAUCUUUGUACAAAAGGGAAUAGGCUAAAAACCAGAACCAGAGGGUCUCGAUUAUUGGGCCUGCAGGCGGCACAACAGUGUAAAUACAGACAUCCCUCUGAAGUGGAAAUCUCUGCAUGAGCUCGAAUCACUUCCAAAAACUGUGUCUGUGAACACUGUUUAAUGCUUCAUUCACAAAUGCAGGUUCAAACGAUGCUAGGCAAAGAAGAAACCGUUCAUAAACAUUCUUGAGAAACACCUCUGGGUCCAAGUCUUUGAGGUGGUAGAUCAUAACUAAAAUUACAACACAGUAGACCGGGAAUCCUAAACCUGGCAAGAAUGGGACCACAUUUAACCUUCAAACUCCAGAAACUGAUCUCAUUGACUCCCAAACAGUUGAAGAGUGUUGUCGAAAAGAAGAAGUGAUGCAACACAAUGGUUAACCUGUCACUGUCCCAGCUUCUUGGGACGUGUUACUGGUAUAGAAUUUGAAACAAGCGCAUAGUUUCGAAUACAUUUUUUAGUUUUAACAUUUGUACAGGUAGUCUCUUUUUAUGGUAUUUUCAAUCCCCAUAUGGUUUAAACAUAGACUGUAUAUAGAAUGAACAGUGUCUGCCUCCUCGCUGGGUGAAGCCACUCCGAGAACAGCACCCUCUGGUGACGGGCUGCGGUAUAGUUCAUAUAGCCCACCUCCUCCAGCAAUCCCUAUGGAGCUGUGGACAAACUUUAGAAAUUAAUUACACAGGAUAUAAAUUUUUCUCCCCCCUGCUUGCGAUGUUGACAUGUAGUUAUUGUAAGACUGGUUUGUGCUCAAGUCCUCUUUUUUCUGUGCAGCUCCGUAUUUAAAAGUUAUUAGGGGGUUCAUGUUUUCUAUGAUUAACACUUGAUACAGCCUAUGGGCAUACAAGGAUUGCGUAGCUCGACCGGGGAUACGCUGUUUGAGCCAAGCGUCAUCACAGCGACUCUCUGUGACUCUCCUACCGAAUGUGUACAACCUUACUGCGCAAUGUUGGUUUCAGGAAGUGGAGAAAAAAAGCAGAAUUAACAAGAGCUUUUUGGCUUCAAAUCUGUAUAUUGGCGGAAGGCGGAACCAAGUUGUCCAGAGUAUAAACACUCUGUGGGUUUAAAUGAUUUGCAAAGUAUCAAAUUCUGUUUUAACAUUUUACAAGGCGCCCUGACUGCUUUUGGAACUACGAUUGUACCAAUACAGUGACUAAUUGAAUUUCCCUUCAAUGAAGUUCUUCUUUUAAUUCUUCUUCUUCUUCUUCUAAUUCUUCUAAUUCUUCUUUGUCUAAUUCUUAUUCUUUCUCUACUCCUUCUACUCCUUCGUCUUCUAAUUCUUCUUCUUCUUCUUCUUCUAAUUCUUCUUCUUCUUCUAAUUCUAAUUCUUCUUCUACUUCUUCUAAUUCUUCUUCUUUGUGAAAAAUUCGGGCAGUUCAAAAUCAAAUUAUGGCAUCAAGAAGGGAAAAGGAGCAUCAGCAACCAAAAUAUAAAUAGAGGAAAAAAACAUAUGACGUACACACGGUGAUCAAAGUUUGUGUGUGUGUUUGUGUGGUGCGUGUGUGUGUAUGUGUGCAGCCUUUAAGAUGCAGGGUGGAUAGACAGCAGCAGCAGAAGUCAUUAUGUGUGUGUGUGUGUGUGUGUGUGUGUGUGUGUAUCUAUAAUUAAUAGUGCAGAUGAUGAGGCCUCAUGUAAUCUUCUGCAAUCCAUCAAACACCAAGCUGACAGUCGAACAAUACACAGCCCAGGGAGGGGUGUAUAGAUGAACAUGCACGCACAUACACAUGCAGUACUACACAGACACACGCACACAUGCAUACAUAACAUGAUGUAAACAGAAUUUAUGUCAGAGAGAAAUUUUGAACUUUUACAUUUUCUCCCCCUAAUGAAGGGUUUCUGAUUUAAGUGACGGCUAAGUGUGUAACAUUGUUGGUUCAACAGCUGCAAAGAGAAGUACAAAACGGACCAAAAACUGCCUCUAAAAACAUACAUGCACACACACACACACAUGCACACGUACACACACACUCAGCAGCUAGCUUUAUGCAUUUCAAAUUUUCAGCUCCAGUCCUUCAUCUGAGUGCAAUUACAGCAACGGUUUGAAAACAAAUUGAUGGUGCAAUAAAUAGGUUUUUCUUGCUUUUAUACGAGAGUACAUUUUUCAUAAUUUCUACCGAGAAAUAGUUCUUGCAAUGACGUGCCAGCUGUGAGUCUGAAUAGACCUGUAUUGAUCGGAAUAAGUGUGCGAGUGUACAGGUGUCUCUGUGAACCAUCAGUUGUUGUUGGUGGCGGCGUGUGCAAGCCUCAAGGCCUCUCAGCUAUCUCGCUUACACACACACACGCACACACUCACACACACUGGCUGGCACCCUGCUCUGCUUUUAGAGCCAUUACUGUCAAACAGCUGUUAGCACGUCAAGAGAAGUGGUGUUGAUGGGAGAGAGCGAAGGAGGGGGAGAGGCUGAGGGAUAAAUGGUCAGGGCCAAUAGAUAGAUAGAUAGAUGGACGGAUAAUUGGGUGUAGAGGAGAGAGGGUGGGGUGUGAGGGAUGAAGUGGUGUAUGGAUGAAUAGUAGGGUGGGGGGAGGGAGAGGGAGGAGAAGGGAUGGGGUGCAGGGCCCACUCUAAGUGAGGACAGAUUGAUGUAGGUGUCAGAGAGGACUCUAGAGAGGAACAGCCCUUUAUUUGACAGUCAAUUAUCAGAUAGACCCAGUGGCCUCGCAGUCCACGGCUGUCACCCUCAUACAGUACGUAAGUGGGUCUCAAACACUGGUUCGGCACCCAGAGCUGGACGGCUGAAAGAUUAAUUUAGGCCUGAAAAGAAAAACGGUGGUUUUAGGUGUUGAAGGUGUGUCAGGGAGAGUUUGUCAAAUUGUUCUGUAUCAUGUUGUUGGAGCGUCUCUGCUCUUUUUAUUUCCUACUGUCAGGAGACGGUCAAGAUAAUAGGAAAAAUGUAUAAAAAUGUUCCCAAAUAGAGACACUGAAACACAAGUUGUUUUACAAGAUCGGCUCAAAUGCUAGACAGAAUGAGUAGAUGCGCUUUGAGAAGGUGUGAGGUCACUUAGUAGCUCUUCCCAGUAGGAGAUAGAGACAAAGGUGAAGGAUGGAGUAUACAGCUUUGAACACAGCAUACCUAUUAAAACUUUUGAUAAAUAAAAAUCAUAUUAAAACACAACGUACCACAAAAAGCCAAACAAUAACAUGAUAGCACAACAGUGGUCAAGGUGAAGCCCAGUUGCACAGCGUAGACUAAAAAGUGAUCACAAACAUAUAAGGCCUAGCUUGUGUGAUAGUAAUUUGAAGUAAGACUUUCACCUUAGAGCUCUAGUGAGAAUCUUUGGGUUGUUUCGGUUCCCCUGUGGACAAAGCGAGACAAUGCUCACUUUGCCGAUCCUGUCCUAGCAGUGUAGCAGUAUUUUCUGACCAAAAAUCUCACUUUAUUUAAUUUAAAUAUCUAAUAUGGAACUUUGCCACUGAAAUCAAAUUAAAGAAUAGUCCUUUAGAAAUAAUCACUCUUCUUUGUGAUUGGCUCCUUUGCUUCUGUAGGUCAAAUAAAGUCAUCAGAUGCAAUCUAAAUCCGUUAAACAAGCUCUUUAAAGAGCAUUUAGGGAAGUUUACAUGUCAUCUACAUGAACAGAUUUAUUUUGCCUGUAAACUUUAAACAUCUUUAAUUAAACCAUUCUGUUUUGAUGAGAGAGUUCAUCAUCUCUGUUUGAAUAGUGAUUUAUUACAAAGCCAUCGAUUUGUUAAAAAGUCUUGAAUUUGUCAUGUUGUCAUUGUUCAAAACGCAUUUUCUCAGUAGCUUUGCACCUGCUUGGUGGAUAUCACUUUCACUUUUACUGUGUUGUUGGACCUUACACCAACACAUUUUAGUUUUUAUGUAGUGUCACAUUUCACAUGUAAUAUGAUGACAGAUCCAACAUAGUUUCAGCAUCAACUUAAUGAUUCAGUCCCAAUGGAAAAAACACUUUUAAUCACAGCAUUAGCAGUAGGAGGCAGUAUUAUAAGAAAAACUUGAAUUUCCCAGAAGUCAGUAUUACUUAGGUACAAACUCAAAGAAGGAUACUCUGUGAAUAAAGCAGAAGAUUUUAGACUAAUAUGUAAGAAAACACAAAUUAUUCAUCAGUUCCUAAAAAAUGUUAUAUGACCAUAAAGAAUGUGAGAUUUUCUUCAGGAAUAUUUGGAUCCAUACUCCUGACAAAUCUACACAAACACUGAAAGCAAUAUUUUUCCUAUGUCGUCUCUCCAGAAUGUUGUUGCCAGUGCAGCAGGUCCUUUUAGUGCACAUGAUUAUUCUGUGCACUUGAUGGGGAUGGGAAAGUUUUGAAGCAGGCUCAGAGUGUGCAGGGCCCUUUCAGACAAGGUCAGGGGAGGUGUGUUGCUAUUGGCUAGCUGCAGCGCUUCAUGAUGAAGCCUCAUGUGUGCUAUUCAGUGUUUGGCCUUGAGCUGGGAUGCCACAGGCAAGUGCUAUGGAAAAAAAGACAAAUGUAUGCUGCUGAACUGACAUGAAUGCUGUCGGUUAAAACUGAUACAUGAAUAGGUAGAAUACAUAUAUAUACAGGACUAGUAUACAAUUAUAUCAGAUAUACAGCUUGUCUUAAUUUCUCCAGUUCUGUAAAACAUUAAACCAAAGGAGGACUGACUGGAAUUUUAGGGAAAAAUGGACAACAAAAACAAGCUGAAAUGUAGACAGCAAAUUUACUGCUCACUUACAGGUUUGUUAAAAAUUAAAUGCGUAAUUUAAAAAAAGGAGCCUGCAAAGAAAAGAUACUCGACUUAAGAAGUGUGAUCUCUUUAUUUUACUCCUGAAUUCUUUGAAUUAUAAUGACACAAGAAUUUUCAAGCACAGACAUCAAAAUUUUGACUUUUAAACGAGAAUACAGCUACACAGAUACAUCUCUGUUUUGAGUUAGAAACUGAUCUUGGUGACAUUUAGAGGAGCGUUGUGUAGAAAUAAAAAUAUUUGAUGAUAUCUAGCAGUCAGAAUCUGGAUUGACAUGCUCCCUUGCUCACCCCUGCUGUCCUCUUCCAGGACAAGAAGCUGCUCUGAUUCAUUCUGUGUUUGACCCUCAAAAAAGCAUCAUGUCAACAAAUACCUUUAAUGCAAUUUGCAUAGCUCACUUGCUAAAUGCAACAUGCAUGUUAUCAGUCUGUCUGCUCUUUGUUAUUGUUGAAAUAUGAUUGUGCAAGAUGGUGGCUACCAUAAAAAGGGACCCACUUUUUGUGGUUUUUACAUUUAGGUAAUGAUAUACUAAUUUAAAACCUUUAUUUAAUAUUCAAUUUCUACUAAGUUGGACCUAUUAAAAGCACCCAUGUUCUACUGACUGCACCUUUAAUGGCCAUAAGAUAUGGACUGUGAUGCUUUUAGACUUAUUCAACCAUAAAGUAUUCAAAGCUUACCUUCUUAGAUGCUUGACACGAGGUAGAAGAGAUUAAAACAUUAUCGUGUGUAAAACUUAUUGGAGGCACCAUGUAUGCAGAAGAAUGUUCAGUGCUGUUUGUGUUUGAUUCCCACACAAAGAUACUGAAGGAGAUUUGACUGAAAUAAACACAAGACAAAUGUAACAUCCCUAUUAGUCUCUGUCCAUGGUGCUGAAAACUAGGCAGCUACUGUAAACCCAAGACGAAAAGGACAGCAACCCAUCAGUGAUCAGUACAUGAAGUCUGGAUUUUUGUUCAACAGAACAAAAUAAAACCAGUAUCAGUAAUUUUCUCUUCUUUUUUGACAUGUUUUUAAUGAGGAUAGGUUGUACUAACUGGUAUGCGAACUUGUCCGUAGUCGAAUAAUGCGCACUCUGAAUGUGAUGCCAAAUCCUACAUGUAACACUAGCAUCCAUAUUUUUGAUACAGGAUUAUCCAGCCAAUAGGUUGAUAAUACAGAAUUCGAUUCAUUUUUCCAUUAGGAUAGAGUGACUUUGACUCAUUGAAAAGGUAUUUUUGUUUGAUGGAUACAGAGCUGUUAGUUUAGCCUGGUAUCUUUAGCCAACUCUUUCUAUUGUGUCAUUUUUAGUAUUGGUGGGGUUUUCUUUUAAUUCAGUUUGCAAUUUCAACAGAAAUACUCACAUCAGAUCAGAUCGGUUGGUCAUUCGUAUUUUUCUAUUUAGAAGCUAUUUUUUUUAACUUGAUUUAUUGGUAUGUGAGCAUUUUGGAACAACUCACUGUGUCGCUGUGAUUUGAAGGAAUGGUGCGUUUGUUUUCUAUUUUCCGUUUUCUAUUUUCAGUGAAUUGGAUCUUUUUUUUAAAGAUAGGAAAGCCCUGGAAAGUUCAGGCUUGUGGGUUCAAGGACCAAGUACCGGUUUCCACGCUGUACUUUUUGUUCACAAAACAUCAUCUAUGUUUUGACAUAGCUGUGGGAAAAAGAAACUAAACUCAACUUUAUUCUGUAUUUCCAUCGUACAAAGAAGAGCCGCUACUCCAACAAAACAGAGUUUAGAUGAUCAUCAGGGUGAAAACAUUUAUCAGCAGCUCAUUUUGAGGAGGAGAUCCAAUCAACGCCAUUUAGAAACACGACCAAAUGAGAUCACAAACACAAAGAUGCACCGUGUUUUGUCCUCGCAGCUUUGCAGGGUUAAUGUUCGUUUAUGCGGAGUCAAAUCAGCCGCUUCUAUACAUCAAACCCUUUAAUGGGUCUUAAUUGAUCUUGGUUCAUCUUCUCUUCGCUCUACCACUUUCUUGUCCUUGUGGAAAAAUUGUGUUGAGCUUCAUUAUUAGGUUCUUGCUCUCAUCUCCCACAGCCUCAGAUUUUUAUUUUGCGAAUCAGAGCUUUGUUUGGAUGUUUUAGCGUUUAUUCCUCCUGUUAAAUUUCCCUGGAUUUAUAACUUAAGACAAGAUUAAAAAAGAAAUAGUCCUUAUGAUAACCUGUAAUUAUUGUGUUCUUACUCUUCAACGAGAAGUGAAGCAGCGUUUCUAUCUCUGCUCAAAAUUUCUCUGUAAUUCUUCACUCAUAGUUCUGUCUCAUGUCACAUCAGCAGCUUCCUUUUCUCUGGUUUUGAUUUUUGUGCAAGCACUUGUUUGUUAUGUGCAUGUAUGCGCGUUGUGUGCGUGUAUUAGCGGCGUGCUAUCAGUGCCCCCUGCAGUAAAACCAAAGGGAAUAAAGAGACGAGGGAGCGGAGGGGGGGGGAGACACAGCAGAGGAAAGAUAGCAAGGACGUGUGAGAGAGAGACGGAGAACAAGAGGAUCGUUUUCAUUAUCUCCAGCACACAGAGGAACUUAAUCACACUCGUACAACAGAGAGAGAGAGGGAGAAGUCUUAUAGCUAAAGACUGCAGCAGCCUGUGCGCCGAGGUGCCUGCAACGUACAAACCGUACAGCAACGCUCUGGAAAUCUACACCGCUCAUACACGCGCACAAAAUACACACAAAGAAACACAAACCGAGGCUGCAUUGAGGAAUUCUUAUUUCUUAGAGAUGUACUGUAAUUGCAGCUGAAUACAAACCAGAGUAAAGCUCAUGCAUCUAAAAACAGACAAAAAUGGCUCCAGGUAACGCGAGAAAAGAAGCUGCAUCAGACUGAAGAAGGAUAAGAGUUAAAGUACAAACUGAAAUGAAAAGCAUUUAGGUAAUUAUCCUUAAUUUGCCUCGAAUUGCAGUAUCAGCUUAUCUGCAUUCGGCUUUGUAGUCUGCACGUAAUUUUUGCUCUCGUACCAUUCAACACUUGAACAGCUCAAUAAUAUUUCUGUGAAUUAAUUCCUCAUGUAUGAGUUUAAUGUAGUCCAAGGUGAUGUGUGGGUGUCGUGUGUCGAUGUAGAUCUAAGUUUUGCUUACAGUGAAGAAUGUACAUUUUUGUGAAGGCUAAAAGCUGCCUCGAAUAUAUUUUUGCUGCUGAAUGACUGUGUUUAAUGAGACUUAAGUUACAGUGUCUGAUAUUUGACAAUUAAAUCCAUCUUAUUUAUAUUUACAAAUUUGAAGAUGCAUACAUCCUUCAAGGAGAGAUAUUUCUGGCUUUUUAAGUGUGAAAAUCUAGUGAGUGAGAAUUUGUUUUUGUUGGUUCGUGUUCGUCUCAAAGAGAAGAAGAGUAGCUUUUGUUUUAAUAUCUGAAAUCAGCUGACUUUGUUAGUAAUUUUUACCUUUUCUUGUUCAGGAAGUAAAAUCUCUUUUUACUCUUGAAUUGUCAUAUCUCUUCAUCUCUUGACUCGUUGUGGCAAAACAAAAAACCUUUUUGAUUUGCUUAUUUACAUUGGAAAAAGAAGAAUCGCACAGAUUGCUUUUUCUCAACCUCGAGUCAAAUGUUUGUUUUAUUCUGACUAAACGCAUCUGUUUGUGAAAAUCUGGGAAUAAGACUUAACGAGGCCGUUGUUCCUUUUUGAGUUUUCUGAAAGCGCUGCGAAGCGUCAGCUGACAGAGUGAUCUGACAUAUAUAACGGAGUCUGUGUGUCAGAGACAGAUGGAGAUAUUUAUUGCCUGUUGAGAAAGCUGACUGUCUCUGAAGAAGAACAGUGUUCUCUAUCCUGUGUUUCUGGAAUUUUUUUGCAGCUAUAAUUAGGGAUAAAAAUACUAAAAUUGUUUAAAUUCACCAGGUACAGUUUAGAGACAAGACAGCCAAAGCCUAUCACAUAAUCAUCAGACUGCUGAUCUCUUUCACUCAGUGCAGUUCAUUUUUUUUCUCCUAUUUUUCAUCAUUCUGAAGGAAUUUCAUCACACAACAUGCAGCAAUUUAUUCUGAAAUAAUUGUGCAAAAAAAAGAGAAGAAUCUGUAAUUUGCAAUUUGCUUCAAAGUCCACAAAUCUGUGUUCAAUAAAAUCUGCUAUCAGUUAAACUACCCACUUUUUAUUUGCAUGCCCAAAAUUCACACCCUCAUAUGUUCAUUAUUCUCUCUUCUUUUGACCAGGAUUAGGAUUUUGAAGCCCCUUUUUUUAGGCUGUCUGUGGUUUUUGCUUUGAAGCAGAUCUCUCUUCUUCUGUCUCCGUGUCUGUUAAAGAAGCAGCUGCAGCUCCAAUAGAUGGCAUCACAGCACUAGACUUCAGUCAUCGUCCUCAGUGCUCAGCUCUGUUCUGCUCUGCCGAGCUGUACUGUGCGUUGCUUUUUCAUGAGCUACACAGCCCCAGCUGUGGAGCAGACUGCGGUUAUGGUACACUGAGACGUUCUCUAUUUCAAGUUUAAAAUCAGAAGAAUUUGGUCCUAGUUUUCUAGUUUUCCUCCUUAAAUGAUUAUGUUUCAAAUUAAACUCUUUAGUUUAAAUUAGUCCGAUUUGAAGUUAGGAAUACAUCUGCGUACAGAGGAGUUGAUUCUUAUUUAUGACAAUAAAUCCUGAGGCCCUGCUUUUAGAGACUGAUCCAGUUAAAUAGAAAAACAACUUAUGGACUCAUAUUUGAUGGUUAAAUCUGCAUGUGCUGGGAGGUUUCUGAAAUCAUAUUUGUUUUCUUUUUCCCACAAAAUUAAGAGAAAAUGUGAACUGCACAGAUCCUUUUUCAAAUUUUUAUUUUAUUUUUUACCAAUACUCGGUCUUCACGAACAAAAUCAGCCGCUAAAUUGAAUAUGACACAUAAAAUAUGGCUCCAUGUCAUGUCUAAUUUGCCUGCUAAUUUUAUUAUGUAGUGGCCCAUUGAAGCCAGUCAGUCCUGUAACUCAGUGUGAUACCGCUGACAGUUAUGACUCAGGAUUAUAACCUGUGUGUGUAUGAUGUGUGUGUGCGCGUGUGUGUGUGUACGCACGCUCAUGUCACCGCACCGUGUCUCUGUAAUCUGAUUAAUCACACUCCAUUAUACCUCCCUCAUUUGUCCCACAAUGCACAGCUUUAUAGGGAAUUAACACAGGUUUUUAUUGGCUCGUACAAUAAAUCAACAGCAGCACCUCUCCUCUCACACAAAAUAAUAUUAUUUGUCCGGCGUGUGAAAGUGUUUCUGUCAGGUUGACUUGAGAGCAGCCGUCCUUAAAUCUGCCGCUCUCGCUUUCAACUGAAGAUAUGUGUGUGUCACUUUGACUGCAAUGUGUUUUUGUGUGUGUGUGCGUGAGUCCCCUGCUGGUCUGUUUCACUGCAGACACUCCAGACAGGAGAAAAAGAUAGUCAGCUCGGAUAAUGGAGCGUUUCUCUACAGCAAAUGUAUGAAAAGGGGCUCCUGAAAUGACAAAUGAUUGUGGCCUAAAAACAGGCAGACACAGAGAGAGAGAGAAAGAGAGAGAAGAAAAAAAUGUAUUCAUUAGAAAUUACAUGUGGAUGGAAAGGAGAGGCAUGUUGGCUUUCAGUGCGGCUGGAUGUCGUGAUGUGAAUUUGUGUUUGGUUGCAUGGAGGGAAUGUGAAGAGACUUACAGAAGAGAGAGGGAAAAACAAACACAGGCCAACAUCUAUUUGACUAUUUUUCCCUCUAAUGCACACUGAUUUUCACUCAUCUUUAAAGGCCGCCUGCUGUCUAACAGACAAGAAUUCGUACUUUAUUUCGGAGUGAAAAAACACCCUAUUUGAUAUUUCUUCGAUUAUUUCUAUUAGAUCAGACCACAUCUUUAAAACGAUUCACAAUUAAGCUCAAAUUAUGUGACUCUUUGAAGCAUUGAUUUCUUAUACAGUACGUUUCACCAGAUUAGUACCUUUUAAACAUUAAAUCUGAGCAUUUGUGCAGCACUGUAAUAUCAAAAGAAGGUCUUUGUAUUUGUCUUUUUCCUCAGAUAAAGGUAUCAUAUCAAAAUGACAGCCGCUCGGUUUUAAUGCCCUUUUUAAUGUCAUUUAAAUCUCUAACUGUUGUGAGCAGACUGAUAAUCUUCCUCUUUGUGAUCUGUGGACUAAUGAGACCUCUCCUCUCUCGCCUCUUUGCGGUGAAGUCCCUGUCUUUAUGUCUUAACGCUGAAAAACACAAAGACUUGGCUGCAGUGUGGUGUGGCCUCAGUGGAGAUCUGUACUGACCAUGGCUUCAUGGGAGAAAAAAAAUGGACAAAAAGGAUGAUAAAGAGUAAAAAAAAGAUGGAGAGAAAUAACAGCUGUAGCAGAACCAGUAAGAGGCUAUUAUUUUAGCUAAUUAAAGAGAUGUAGAGAGGGGAAAAAGGUUUGAGUCUAGCUGGUUGGACCUUGGCGUGCACAAGGGAAAAAAGGAAAAAUGCAAUCACAUCUUCGCUGCACACCUCCACAGAUAUGUCUCUGAUUAGUACAGAGAGUAAAACGUGGAAUAAUGUGACGCACCAGACAAGAGGAGGGAGACCUUUAGAGGAGAGUGUGGAGAAAAAGAGUCGAUGCUAUCCUGCUCAGCGUAAAGGUUAGGGAACGGCCUCAGCUGCUUAGCGUGAAUACGGAUAUUAAUACACGUGUAGAAGUAUUUUAAUUGUAGAGAUAAAGAGAGACACCCAUGACUAUAUUUUUCACUCUUUCAGUACAAAAAAAAUAUUAAAACUCAAACUGGUGUUGCUGCCAAUUUGGGGCUGAUUCGAAAAAUGACAAUCACAACAAUACCACCUUCAAAAAAUGCAGAGCGAAAUCCUUGUAUAGAUAAUGUUGGUAAGAUAUAAGUUAUGAAUGAUGUAGCUGUAUGAUUCCAUGACGUUUUAGCAGUUUAGCAAAGCACAAAAAAAGGAAAUCAGUUUAUUGUGAUCGGUACAAAAACAGAGGAAUGUUUGGACUCUCAUGGAUAAAUAAUCUGAGUGGUUUUUAACAGGCGCUUAGGUUUUUUUUAAUAGGCUCAAGAACGGGAUAAUUUCUCUUUAUUGUCAACAAGCCCAAAAGUGCUUCAAACACUUCUUAAUAUUACAGCACUUAAAACAAACACAGUUUUCAAAGCAGACAGUGAAGCCGCUAACAAAAUGAUUUAGAUGGUUUAAAGCUACAGUUGACAUAAACAGACUCAGCGUAAUUUUCUAAUGUAGUCCCUGCAUAUACAGAUAUGUUUUCAGACAUGAACUGCUGUACCUCAUAAGAACGUAUACAAUCCCCUAAAAAACAAAAACAAAGAUACAGAAAAUAUGGAAAAGAAAACACUGAGACAAAAUCAGAUCCUUCAGAGAAUAUAUACAUAGUAGAUUGUCUUGAAAAUAGGAUCUUAAUGACACUUUUAAAUGGAUGACAAGUCCGUUCCCACUGAGCAUUUUUUGGUCUAAAAGAGGUCUGAUAGACGUCUAAAUCUAACCUAGACGACUGGUGUAAAAUCAGGCUACCACAGGUCAAAAAAAUGAAAGUUUUUUAGAUGUCUAAAUUUAGACCAAGUCUAAAUCUGGGCUGUAUCUAUACCACACUGUAUUUUGCUCAAAGGCCAUCAUAACUAUUUUGGUUAAGUACUUGGAGAUCAGUUAUGUUACUUUUUGAAAUAAAUAGUUAUUGAAUAACGGGUUAAAGUGCAACGUCUCAAUUCCAUCUAAAAAUAAACUGAAUCUAAACGGUUGAAAUAAGGUCUAAAAAAUAUAUAUAUCUAGUGGGUUUAAUACAAUUUUCAUACCUGUAGGACAAAGUUUAUGAUAUUAUAUAAAGGCGGCUUAGAGGUUAGUCAGCUGUUCUAGAAAUAUUUCUUUAUAAAAAUACAAUAACUGUUUGAAACACUUCAAUAAUGAAAUAAAAAAAAGUUUCAUUUCUGUGAUCAAUAGUGUUGGUGUCAGUUAUAGUGUCUAAUUGGUCCCUUUUCUUAGGCUAUUGUAGCCCUUCGUUUCAUGUCCGUCCUUCAAAAAUACACAGAACUGAAAAGAUGUAUACAACGUCUGUAAGCUAACGAUCACUGUGUUGGCAUUCAUGUCACUCCUUCAUCUUGUCAACUACUUUUUCCAUCCUGAGGACUCCGACAGUAAGUGCUCUCCGAGUUUACAUCUGUUUUAGCCUUCUGUUCUUUUCCAUCUCUGCAUUUCUCUCAUUCUUUUCAUCAGUCCAACCAUCCUGAGAGGCUCGCGGUUUUUGACUCCCUCCUCUUUUCUAUCUUACAUUCCUGUCAUUACAUCCUGUGCAGACCAUUACAGCUCCUGUCUGAAGGUUACCUUUUAUGCUAGGAUUUAUUCCCACAAUCAUCCCAUCAACUUGUUUUAACUUUGUGCAUAUCGGUUUUUGUUUUUACUUUGUACGUUAAAAUGACAUCUUUUUUGGUAACAGAUUCCCAAAAAUGAAGAGACAGUGAUAAUCCCAUCUCCAUGAUUUUAGGACUUGUUAUUCAUUCUGAGUCAAGCACUGAGAUUGUAUUGGUCGUGUUUGUUCUUUUGGUAUAAGAUUCUGGCUAAACCUUCAGUUUCUAUCAAAAGCUGACACAUGCUCACCUGCGUGUGCGCGUUCAAGUGCUGUGUUUGGUAGCAGUUCCUGCCAGGAUGCUUAAAGAGGAGCUGCAAAUAGAUUUUUGUAAAGGGGACCGGCCUUGGUCCCAACUCAGAGUCUUCCUCUGUGAUCCAAACUUAAACAAUGGGGACUGGUGACUUGACUGAGAUUCAAGGUUGAUUUUUUUUUUUUGAAAUCUGAAGCCCAUUCAUAAAGGGACGAGUAUGAAGCAAAUAAACACUAAAAUAAAUGUUACCUAAGAAAAUUUGCAAUGCUCUUUAAGCAUUCAAAUCACACAAAAUCAGUUGCAAACACAGUAAGAUAAAUAGUCUAAAAAAAGACUAACCAUCAUAUGAAAUACAUGUUUAAAAAUAGUCUGACUCAUGAGUGUUUUUAUGGGAUUUGUCAGUGGUAAUGAAAACACAGAGCAAACACUUCCCUCAGCCUUUAGAGAGAGUGACAGGGUUCAUUGUUCAGGGUGUUGAAAUGACAACAGGAGAGUCAUUUUAUAAUGAUGUUAUGUCAGCGUUAGAUAAUUGGAUUAGCCUGAGCUACAUUAAGGUAAAGUGUAUUAAAUGAUUUCUGAUUUCCAUCUGCUUGGUGAUUUCCUCAUGUAAUAAAACACUGCCUCCAAGCAUGCCUGUAAACACGCACACUCACUCACUUACACACACACACACACACACACACUCUUCACACACUAUCACAGGCGACAUGAGUGUGUGCUCUCAUACACAUUUAAUGUAUUACUCGCAGAUCAAAUACAGGCUUCCCACCUACUUCCCUCCCCAGAGAGACUGAGUGUGUGUGUUAUUAACCCCAACACCACUGCUGCUUGUCUGCUGGCAUUAACCCCAUUAUCCUCUCCUCCUCCUCCCCCCUCCACUCUCCUCUUCUCCUCUUGUCUUCUCUCCUCUCUCUCCUGCUGCAGCGAUGAAGUUCAAUGGGUGCAGUUUUCCUCUUUUCCUCUCUUAUACACUCAUUCUUUCCUCGUUUUCUCGCUCCCUCCAUCUCUCCACAGUUGGCAGUGGCAGAGGUUAGACAAGCACACCCUGUCCCUCCCUCCUUCCCUCACGGGGUCCCAGAGGUGCUUUCUGCUUAACGAGGCUGGAUAUCUGUUUCCUAAAAUCAAUCGUCUGUCUUAAACGAACAUCCCCGACCAUCUGCUUCGGGGUUUACAUACACACACACACGCACACACACACACACACACACAAGCACGCCCACACACUGUCUCACAGGAGCUUCAAUCCCAAUAUUUGUUGUGUGUGAUCCAGCAGACUCCUCAAGGACCCCAGAGAGCCAAUGUAGGGGUCCUCCAGGGGCCCUCUCAAACUGCCUGAAGCUAGGGCCUCAUACUUGGCCCUGCUCCCUCCCUCCCUCCCUCCUUUCUUUCUUCCUGUCUUUCUUCUCCCUCUUUCCCUCUGUUGCUUUUCUGUUUGAUUAAUCUCUAAAUCUGUGUGACACAUGGAUGAGGCUCUGCCAGAGAACUGUGUGUGUGUGUGAAAAUGUGUGAUUGUGUAUUUGUUAAAAAAAGAAGUGAAAUGCGCAGCUAAUCCCUUUAGCAAGCUGUUGCAUGUGUUUGGGUGGUAACAGUGGCAUGAGAAGACCUGUCGUUGAAGAUCUCACAUCUUUGUACGUUACUCUCGCCCGUGUUGACUGGGUGACCUCUCAGCUCUUUGAUACUCCGUCUUUGAAAGUACAACUCCACGUUGUUUCAUCACUGUGUAAAAUCAUGACAAAACAGGUAAUUGUACUUAAUAAAAAAAUACUUUCUACAACAACAUACCAAUAAUUAAAGUUUUACCUCUUUGAAAAAAAUGUAAGUUUAGGGCCAUUGUAAUAGGACAAUUCAUCAUCCUACAUUGUGAACACACAUGCAAAUCAGCACCUACAGUAUAUAAACCAUGAGUACAAACUUGUAAUGUGUGCAGGGUCUCAUUUCACAGUAAAAAACACUGAAAUCUUCUAUGCAUUACACGCUAUAGCAUCAAACUUUCAUUUCAUCACAGAUAAUUUUGACUUACUUGGUCGAUGUAGCUGGCAGCUAGGGCUAUAAGACUUGUGUAUUUUAUGCAUUGUUUUUAGCAAUGGUGGGUGCAGAGGCUGAGAGAAAAUUGUGUUUUUUUACCCAUUAUGUUUGAUUGAAUACUCUAGUAAGAACCCUUAUGGUCAUCUGUGACACGUGCAAAGACAUUUUUAAAGAAAUAUUCUGGUUGUUGAAUUAAAGAAACUUAAGAUUAAGUCAAAAUGCAGGAGUAAUGUAAAAUUAUGAGCUUUAGUUUAUCAAAACUAAUCGUCAAAUUCCAACAUAGUCAACGAAGACCCGCCAGUUUCAUCCCUAAAUAGUUGGCAUCGCUCUUUUAAUCUGGUAUCGCUUAAACCCCAGAUUCCUCCCCCCUCUUCCUCCCUGUCUCUAUUGUAUUCCCGUAUUCCCUUGUCUCCAACCCCCCCUCUUCAGUAAUUACACCCAAAGUCAAAAGAUGGUCCUGUCAAUCAAAGACUCAACUGUCACUUUGUCUGCUUUGUCUCUCACAUCUCUGUCUGUUUCUGUCUCUGCUGAUUUCAGGCUGCGCUGUCACAAUAGUGCAGAGCUGUUCAUGCGUUCAUCAAUGUCUCGUGUUUGGGUUUUUCCACGUACAUGCUUUUACGGGCUUGUUGGCUAUUGGUCUUAUUUGUUUUGUUUAAUCUUUAACUGUAGAUUUAAACAUUUGAAACAGAAAGCCUUAACAUGUGUCCACAAUGGUAAAACGGACUAUAGAAAUAACUCGAUGGAUGCUUAUAUUGAGGCAGUGAUACCAUUCACAACCAUACCCUCUUCUAUUGUUGUUCGGCAUUGCCAGAUAUCGAUAGGUUAUAAAAGGCAGGAGGAAAGCAGCUUGGUAACAACUGAAGAAUAAGAGAUGGCUGAAGUAAAUGUAGGAACAGAUUUUCAAUGAAAAACUGAUGUUCAUCUGCUAUUUGCAACUUUUUGGGCAAAGGAGAGAAGACAUGUUACUUACCACUCGGGGAGGGCUGGGCGAUAAACCGAAAAUUUACUGAUACUGAAAUUUACGACAAUAACCAACGCCAUUUUUCCCAUAUCAGUAUAUUUGGUGUCAAAAAAAUAAAUAAAUAAAAGUUGUUUUUGGAUGUAUGUAGGUAGACUAUGGUCUCAUGUCCCUUUAAGACGCUGUCCUAUGUCAGAGACAUGACUCCACCCCAUCCAGUCCGUAACAAAGAGGGAAAAACAGGUUAGGAGAUUGAGGACGGUUCAAAAGUUGUAGUGGCUGAAGUAGAUGAAGUUAAUGAGGGAGGGGGUGAGCAGCUUGUGGAGUAGUUAUCGUACAUUCAUCAUUAUCGGGGUGAACUGCUCAAUAUAUCGUGAUAUUGAUUUGAGGCCAUAUCGCCCAGCCCUACACUCAGGGUAUUGGUGCAAAAACAAGUUAACUGUGAAAAGACAUCAAGACUGUACAGCUAGUAAGAACAAUCAAACGUUUAUUAAUCAAAGAAUUAAAAAUUGACAUGUAAUUUUUUUGCCAUAAAUCCCUGGCCGGCUUUGAUAUCUGAUUUUUGACUUAAGUUGAGACAACGUUUUCUCAAAGAACAGUCAAAUGGAGGUCACAGAUCAUUUCAGUGAGGAUGCCUUGCACAGUCCUUAAAUUUACUCUUGGUGUGUAAGUUAAACAGACAAAAGACACAGUGAGGAAAUGCUGUCAAAGUGGGAAUCCCUGUUCAGAUGUCACAGGUCAGCCUGUUUUAUAGUUUCAAAUUACUUUAAACUCUACCAAAGUUUAGUUCUUAUGUUUGUUAUCGAUCAUUUCCCAAUAUCAUUGAAAAAGACCAGAUAUUAGAGUUUAUAUUAGAGUAUGUAACCAGUGAGAUGAAUGUCUUCCUGGCUAUUUCUAUAUAUUAGGCAUGAAUAAACACACACUUUCACACACAUGAACACACACACACAUGAACACACAAACAUACUUCCAGUGAUUGAAGGGCUAAUAGGGUUAAUUGUCAUGUAAAACCAUCACUGCAGUCAACUUCACGGCCAGUCACUCAAAAUCUUUUACACACACACACACACACACACACACACACACAGUCAUAUUUGCACACUCUCCCAUGGGAUCCCUCCUCGCCCAGAUGGCUUUUUUCCCGGUGGCUGUGUGCUUCAGUGUGUGUAUGUCUGUGUGAGAUCCUGGCAGGCCACAAGGGGCUUCGCGGUGAACAAGGCGCAUCUUCUCCGUCUAAUUAAUUUACUAUUAUAUAGCACCUGUUUCAGGCUAGAUAGAGCUGAGGGCACACACUCAGACACACACACACACACACACACACACACACACACACACACACAAAAUGAUGAAACAGAGAGGUAUUAGAAGGGGAGGUAGAGGGGCGGCACAGGGAUGGACAGAUGAGGAGAAAAUAAAAAUGAAGGGAGGGAGGAAGAGGUGAAGGAAGGAAGGAAAGGAGGGUAAAUGGAAAGACAAGAAGGAAGGGGGGAGGAAGCAGUGGGGGUAGGACAUGAAGGAGGGGGAGGAGGGAUUGAGGGAGGCAGUAAUAAAUGAGUUUUUGAACUGAUUAUAUUAAGCUGAUCCUUUGAUCAUGUUUAAGGCCUUAAAAUGGAAAUAUGUUUUCUCUUAAGGAGGGAGAAGAAGAAGGAGGAGGAGGGGGGAGGAGGACAGCUCAUUACAUGUGGAUACCAUUGCCAGUUUACUCAGUUUUAUUCCCAUCUAUUGAAGAUUGAACUCUUCAUCUUCACUACAUUUAAGCUAGUUAACUUUAUUGUCUUAUUUUUUGUUCACUUUUCUCUUUUCUGUGGACCCACUUUGUAUUUAUGGUUUAAAAAUGGGUAUAAAACAUAAAUAGUAACUAACAGAGGCUACACUUAACAGCACUUUCUUCAGCAGUAUUAUUUGUACAUCAGAAACCAUUUUGCUGAAAAGUACAGUCUGGUUUAAGAAGUUGUAGUUAGUGUUGUUUGUUUUUUAAACUGUGGUUUUGCAAAGUAGUUAGCUGGACAUAACCUUUGUAAAAGCUUUGCUCCAUUAUUAUCAUUACAGAGUUGACUGUUUGAUUUAAUAUUUUCACCUGAGGAAGUCAGCAUCAUUAUAAUGAGAUGAUUACACGAGUUAACACAGUUUCAAUAUCCCCAGGCCUGAAAUGCCAUACAUGUUGUGUCUUAGCUUUAAUGCAGUCAGCCACCACUUACCAAGUCUGUCUUACUCAGGUUAAUAAUGACUACUGCCAUAAUGCUCUACUCUAAGGAUGUAAACAAGCACUGCCGACACAUGGCAUCUGGUAGCAUCCAUUUUUCUCUGUUUGACAAAUCCAGGGAUUCUUUCAUUUUUAGUACAAAUAAGGUGGUGGACUCUAAAAUGGUUGAAGAAUAAAUUGUUCAAGCAAAGUAUUUGAUUUGGGCUCAAUAGCAAGCUAAACAAAUGUAAGACAGAUGCCUUCAAACUUGAAAUUAUCUUGAAAGAAGUUCGUAAUGAUGGUUUAGUGAUGAUGACUAUGUUGGCUGGUUGGCCUGUUGCUUGGCGGCAGGCCAUGUGACUGGGGCUAAAGGUUGGAUACAGGGAUCCUUUGAAGACCAGGCCUUCUCGAUCUACUCCACUCUAUGCGUUUUUUUUUUUAACAGCAAGUAAAUCAGUUGCUUUAAAACAUCCUAGGGUAUGUUGUUGUGCUAUUUAGUGCCUCUACUUACAGACCUGGACCACUUCCACUGUAAUGUCUGGCUGUUACUGUGUUUCUCUAUAAAAUUAUGCUUUUUUAUUUGCAUAGUUUCUAAAUUCGCAGUAGUUUCCUCCCUGUGGAGAUUGUUUGGGUCUCUGCUGCAUGUUUGUCGGGAACUGAGUGCCUGACAAAUUCUGAUCAUGUAAAGAUGCCGGGUUUGUUGGUCGUCAGUUAAUGCAGGUAAAGAAUGGGGCACAUUGUCAAGCAAGAGAAAAUAAAUGUAAAAUAUUGUUAACCCUGGUGCCUUACUUCUUACCAAAUGCACAUGAUACAUAAUUUAAAAGUAACUUCCCAUCCCAGAGCUGAAAGCACUUUAAUUAAUCACAUUGUGAGUUCUUUCCAUCUGUGGGAGCGAGUAAAAAUAAAGCAUCAGUGAUACAAGAACAACUCGGCUCCCAGUACAGUGAUAUACCACCACCUCAUCUCUCCCUCUGUCUCUUUCUGAGUUCAUUAGUUUCCAGACCGGUGCUCCUCCUGGAUUACCAUAACCUGUCAGCCGUGAAACACCACAAAACAAUUUUCAGCUUGUAAAAAAAAAAAAAGAGAGAGAGAGAAGAAGAAGGAGGGAGAAAAAAAAAUCAGCCCACCUCGCUCUGCUGCCUCUCACAGCCACAGGGAGGAGAGAGGGCGGGGAGGUUACGCUACCUGUAUGUUUUUCUAAUGAACACCACACUGAACUAAUAAAAACAUGUCAGCCAGGGAGAGAUGCUCAGUAGUAAAGGGGAGGAUGAAAACACCAGCAAGUGGAAUUAAUGCAGAAAAAUACCUGUUUCAGAUGGGUGAUAAUUCCUUAAAUAUGAGCCUCAUGAUUUCCCUGCUGUGAGCAGCUUAGGACGAGGUUGAGUUUGAAAGUCACACACUUUUGUUUAAACACAGUUAGUUUACUUAAUAGUCUACCCUUUUGUAUUUGAUCUGAUUAAAAAGAAGCAAAAACACUUCCCCCUGUAAAUUAAAAAUCUGAACCAACAGAGCAGACUGUUCAGACUGCUGCUGGUGCUUUCCUGUAAAUAUUGACUGAUUAUUUUCGGUGAGUUGUCCUUUUCUGCUUUCCAGUGCUGUGUUUUUUUCCUACUGGACAAACAUUGACAUGACCACAUACUGUGCAUGCACUGAAAAUUGGAAAAUUGAAUAAAAUGAACAAGACCUCUUUAAUAAUUUUGUGUAUUUAUGUCUUUAAAAUGUGCCAUAGAUCCUCAGGAGUUUAUAUGUCUGAUUAUCCCGUCUGAUGCUCCUUUCUCAGGCUGUCAGGCUACAGGAUACACGAAGGAUGUCACACACUCUGUUGGUCUGUCACUGUCUGUUUUCACGGCUGCUCCGGGUCUUCAGCGGGACAGUUUAACGUCCAAACAGUCACAAAGGCCACUGACCAGCAAAACAUCCAUCAUAUAGUGGCAGGCGCCGAAAGGAAGUGUCCACAGUGAGUCGAAGCAAUAAACUGCUUUUUCCCCUUUGGCUUUCACCUUCACAAAAAAUAGAUAUAACAAGUAAUAGGUUUAAAAAU